rnacentral:rRNA from 1 species
UACGAAGGGUGCUAGCGUUGUUCGGAAUCACUGGGCGUAAAGCGCGCGUAGGCGGAUCGCUAAGUCAGGGGUGAAAUCCCAGGGCUCAACCCUGGAACUGCCUUUGAUACUGACGGUCUGGAGAUCGGGAGAGGUUGGUGGAAUUCCGAGUGUAGAGGUGAAAUUCGUAGAUAUCGAGAGGAACACCGGUGGCGAAGGCGGCUUCCUGGACAAUGACUGACGCUGAGGCGCGAAAGCGUGGGGAGCAAACAGG